CCAGGCGUAAUAGCUCACUGGUCGAGUCGGCCUGCGCGGAAGAUGUAACGGGGCUAAACCAUGCACCGAAGCUGCGGCAGCGACACUGUGUGUUGUUGGGUAGGGGAGCGUUCUGUAAGCCUGUGAAGGUGUCUGUGAGGAUGCUGGAGGUAUCAGAAGUGCGAAUGCUGACAUAAGUAACGAUAAAGCGGGUGAAAAGCCCGCUCGCCGGAAGACCAAGGGUUCCUGUCCAACGUUAAUCGGGGCAGGGUGAGUCGACCCCUAAGGCGAGGCCGAAAGGCGUAGUCGAUGGGAAACAGGUUAAUAUUCCUGUACUUGGUGUUACUGCGAAGGGGGGACGGAGAAGGCUAUGUUGGCCGGGCGACGGUUGUCCCGGUUUAAGCGUGUAGGCUGGUUUUCCAGGCAAAUCCGGAAAAUCAAGGCUGAGGCGUGAUGACGAGGCACUACGGUGCUGAAGCAACAAAUGCCCUGCUUCCAGGAAAAGCCUCUAAGCAUCAGGUAACAUCAAAUCGUACCCCAAACCGACACAGGUGGUCAGGUAGAGAAUACCAAGGCGCUUGAGAGAACUCGGGUGAAGGAACUAGGCAAAAUGGUGCCGUAACUUCGGGAGAAGGCACGCUGAUAUGUAGGUGAAGUCCCUCGCGGAUGGAGCUGAAAUCAGUCGAAGAUACCAGCUGGCUGCAACUGUUUAUUAAAAACACAGCACUGUGCAAACACGAAAGUGGACGUAUACGGUGUGACGCCUGCCCGGUGCCGGAAGGUUAAUUGAUGGGGUCAGCGCAAGCGAAGCUCUUGAUCGAAGCCCCGGUAAACGGCGGCCGUAACUAUAACGGUCCUAAGGUAGCGAAAUUCCUUGUCGGGUAAGUUCCGACCUGCACGAAUGGCGUAAUGAUGGCCAGGCUGUCUCCACCCGAGACUCAGUGAAAUUGAACUCGCUGUGAAGAUGCAGUGUACCCGCGGCAAGACGGAAAGACCCCGUGAACCUUUACUAUAGCUUGACACUGAACAUUGAGCCUUGAUGUGUAGGAUAGGUGGGAGGCUUUGAAGUGUGGACGCCAGUCUGCAUGGAGCCGACCUUGAAAUACCACCCUUUAAUGUUUGAUGUUCUAACGUGGACCCGUGAUCCGGGUUGCGGACAGUGUCUGGUGGGUAGUUUGACUGGGGCGGUCUCCUCCUAAAGAGUAACGGAGGAGCACGAAGGUUGGCUAAUCCUGGUCGGACAUCAGGAGGUUAGUGCAAUGGCAUAAGCCAGCUUGACUGCGAGCGUGACGGCGCGAGCAGGUGCGAAAGCAGGUCAUAGUGAUCCGGUGGUUCUGAAUGGAAGGGCCAUCGCUCAACGGAUAAAAGGUACUCCGGGGAUAACAGGCUGAUACCGCCCAAGAGUUCAUAUCGACGGCGGUGUUUGGCACCUCGAUGUCGGCUCAUCACAUCCUGGGGCUGAAGUAGGUCCCAAGGGUAUGGCUGUUCGCCAUUUAAAGUGGUACGCGAGCUGGGUUUAGAACGUCGUGAGACAGUUCGGUCCCUAUCUGCCGUGGGCGCUGGAGAACUGAGGGGGGCUGCUCCUAGUACGAGAGGACCGGAGUGGACGCAUCACUGGUGUUCGGGUUGUCAUGCCAAUGGCACUGCCCGGUAGCUAAAUGCGGAAGAGAUAAGUGCUGAAAGCAUCUAAGCACGAAACUUGCCCCGAGAUGAGUUCUCCCUGACCCUUUAAGGGUCCUGAAGGAACGUUGAAGACGACGACGUUGAUAGGCCGGGUGUGUAAGCGCAGCGAUGCGUUGAGCUAACCGGUACUAAUGAACCGUGAGGCUUAACCUU
rnacentral:rRNA from 1 species